rnacentral:tRNA from 1 species
GUGGCAUUAGCUCAGUGGAUAGAGCAGCGGCCUUCUAAGCGUAGGUCACAGGUUCGAAUCCUGUAUGCCUCACCA